rnacentral:tRNA from 1 species
AUUUCUUUAGCUUAUACAGAUUCAAGCAUAGUAGUGAAGUUACUAAGAUAACUUUUGUUAGGUUAGGGGAUG